AUUGAACGCUGGCGGCAUGCCUUACACAUGCAAGUCGAACGGCAGCACGGGUGCUUGCACCUGGUGGCGAGUGGCGAACGGGUGAGUAAUACAUCGGAACGUACCUUAUCGUGGGGGAUAACGCAGCGAAAGCUGUGCUAAUACCGCAUACGCCCUGAGGGGGAAAGCGGGGGAUCGAAAGACCUCGCGCGAUUAGAGCGGCCGAUGCCUGAUUAGCUUGUUGGUGGGGUAAAAGCCCACCAAGGCGACGAUCAGUAGCUGGUCUGAGAGGACGAUCAGCCACACUGGGACUGAGACACGGCCCAGACUCCUACGGGAGGCAGCAGUGGGGAAUUUUGGACAAUGGGGGAAACCCUGAUCCAGCAAUGCCGCGUGAGUGAAGAAGGCCUUCGGGUUGUAAAGCUCUUUUGUCAGGGAAGAAACACCGGCUCUAACACAGUCCGGGAAUGACGGUAC
rnacentral:rRNA from 4 species